rnacentral:rRNA from 1 species
GAUGAACGCUGGCGGCGGGCCUAAUACAUGCAAGUCGAGCGAACGGACGAUAAGCUUGCGUCUCUGAUGUUAGCGGCGGACGGGUGAGUAAGACGUGGAUAACCUACCUAUAAGACUGGGAUAACUUCGGGAAACCGGAGCUAAUACCGGAUAAUAUUUUGAACCGCAUGGUUCAAGAGUGAAAGACGGUCUUGCUGUCACUUAUAGAUGGAUCCGCGCUGCAUUAGCUAGUUGGUAAGGUAACGGCUUACCAAGGCAACGAUGCAUAGCUGACCUGAGAGGGUGAUCGGCCACACUGGAACUGAGACACGGUCCAGACUCCUACGGGAGGCAGCAGUAGGGAAUCUUCCGCAAUGGGCGAAAGCCUGACGGAGCAACGCCGCGUGAGUGAUGAAGGUCUUCGGAUCGUAAAACUCUGUUAUUAGGGAAGAACAUAUGUGUAAGUAACUGUGCACAUCUUGACGGUACCUAAUCAGAAAGCCCCGGCUAACUACGUG